UCGGGAAUCUUGGUCAAUGGGGGAAACCCUGAGCCAGCAACGCCGCGUGAGGGAUGAAGGCCCUCGGGUCGUAAACCUCUGUCGGGAGGGAAGAAAGGAUUCCGGAUCAAUACCCCGGGAUACUGACGGUACCUUCAAAGGAAGCGCCGGCUAACUCCGUGCCAGCAGCCGCGGUAAUACGGAGGGCGCGAGCGUUGUUCGGAAUCAUUGGGCGUAAAGCGCGUGUAGGCGGCUGGGCAAGUCGGAUGUGAAAGCCCGGGGCUCAACCCCGGAAUUGCAUUCGAAACUGCCUGGCUCGAGUCUCGGAGAGGAGGGCGGAAUUCCCGGUGUAGAGGUGAAAUCCGUAGAUAUCGGGAGGAACACCAGUGGCGAGGGCGGCCCUCUGGACGAUGACUGACGCUGAGAUGCGAAAGCGUGGGGAGCAAACAGGAUUAGAUACCCUGGUAGUCCACGCCGUAAACGAUGAUCACUAGGUGUAGCGGGUACUCAUUCCUGCUGUGCCGCAG
rnacentral:rRNA from 1 species